CUUGUUAUUUAAAUUGGAGAUACCAAUUACAGUCAGGUCCCUCUCCACCUGAUCUUUACAACGAAGUUGAGCUCUUUCUCUUCCUCUGCUUCCUGCGUUGGGUACCGCAUCAAAUACUUUCAAAGCUGGAGUGUUCUAAUUCCUCGGGACAACAUGACUUAGCCAGCGUAGCCGCUGUCUGAUUCGUUGAACUAGCUCAAUAUUGCUCAUCGUUCCAUCGACUGCGGAUCCCAUAUAGCAGAACGGAAAUGAUGAGGGACUUGUAGUCUUUGUUUGUCGAGAUUUUAGUUUUCGACUUUAGUCUUUCACAAAGUGUGGUCGAUAGGAUCUAAUAAUUGAUAUUGAGGAGGAUAUUGGAGCAGAUUUUGGAACCUCAUAUUUUGUGAAUUAGGCUGAAAACACUUAGCGAAGUGGAAGUCUUCCUCUUCCUCUACUUCCACCAGAUGUUUCUUUAGCAAAAAGUGGUGUGUUUGAGUAGUACCAGCUCUUUUUAGAGGGCCGGGAAGAUAUCGCUGAUGAAGACCGAGCUUGGAUACCUGCGACUUCGACAAACACCGACAAUGUGACUCGUGUGCGCAAAGUUCUGAAAUCAAAAUCUGUGGUUCAUGACAUUGCGACGGAGCACAUGCGCAAGGUGUGCGCGAAUAUAGUCCCAGAAGUGAUCACUGACGAUUAGAAAUUGCGGCGAGUGGAAGUGUGGCAAGAAAACUUGAACAUGUGUGAAAGUGACCCCCAAUUUUCGAAUAAAGUUAUCACAGGUGAUGAGUCAUGGAUCUUUGAAUAUGAUCCCGAGACAAAGAGGCAAGCAUUUUAAGACGACAGUGGGGAUCCAAUCAGCCUCGGCUCUCAAUGCUAUUCCGGAGAAUGCCUUCCGUGACACCUUCAAUGCUUGGAAAUCACGCUGGCAGCGUUGCAUCGAUGCAGAUCGAGAGAAAGAAUUGUAACGAUUGGUUCAAUAAUUUUUUUUAAAUUGACUCAGUCCUAUUACUUUCCGGACAAACCCUGUAACAUCUUUUUUACUACGGGAAGUGUUGAUUUUCUUCUUGCAGUCAAAGAAAUCAGCGGCUGAGGUACAUCAGCCAACUACAAGAACUUUACGAAGGUGUUGCCCAAGUGAAACAACGAGCCGUGAAGGAAGGCUACAAAGCUUCGAAGACAGUGAAUUGGAAACGUUGCUCCAUGAGGGUCCGUGCCAGAUGCAAGAAUAGCUAGCUUCAGUAUUGGGAGUCACCUGCCAAGCCAUUUAAAAGCGCUACAUGCGCUGGAAAUGUUUCAGAAACAAGUGUUCCUUAUGAUUGGAAACCAAGGAACGUUGAGCGUCGCCUAUGAGUCAUUGCUCUAAAGGCAAAAAAAAGAAAGGCCCAACUCCACCAGCUAUAUUCCCUAGAUAUUGCAGCGUCCAAUUAUUAUUUGUUCCGUUCCGUUCGAUGUCACUUGGAAUGAUAUUCGUGCUUUGCCAGAAGGAUGGGAAAAAGUUGUGACUAGUGAUGGACAAUACUUCGAAUUACUCAUUUGUAAGCUUUGGUAUGAUUACGGAGAUUCUGUCUGCUGAAGUGUCAUUUUAAAAAUUAUGGCCGUUCUGAUUCUUUUGAAGGGUAUCACAUAAGAAGUUUACAAAAAAGGAUUCACUUGAGCUUUGGAAUAUAACAUGUAAGAGGUAUUCUUACUCUGUUCCGAACUGUCAAGGAGCUCUUUGAGUUUUUGCAUCAAAAAUAUACUCAGUGAUCCCAUAUUGAUGAUUUGGUGCGUUGUUUGCAAUAAAUAAUUUUAGUUUUGGUAACAGCAAGGAAUCGAGUUGUGGCUCUUUCGGCCUUGACAGUUCCCAUCAACUAAACAUAUCGCAUAAACCCACUAAAGCCUCUUGAAACAGUAAUAAAAUACAUUUGAAAAUUGUAUUAUAAUUAUUAUUUAUUUAUGUAAAAAAUAUUACAUGUUCGUGUUGUUGUUUUAACUGACAAUUGUUAAUACAGAGUUUUAGGGUUUUAGUAAAUAAUAUUGCAUUUAAUAAUUGAUUGUUAUAAGGAAUGAAAACAUGCAAAUAUAUAUUUGUUGGCUUAGUUUCCUUAGUAAUUUUCUUGUUUGAGCUUGGUUCACUACGAAGAUAACAACUUACAGAGAGAAAGAGAGUGCACAUACAUAAAAAAAAUUAGAUUUUAAAAAUAUACUUUAAAGCUUAAAACUUAA